AAGUUUGAGAAUAUAAAACAAAAGUCAGGAAAUGCCUAAGUUAUCCCUGAGAAUGAGGACUUCACUGAGGACAUAUGCCCCUGAGAAUGUGACAAGAGAACAGACCUGCCAUCCUCUCCUUAAAAUUGAGAUGGAGAUGAAGGGGAGAUGGAACCUAGUCUUCCCCCUGAACACACCCUAAUGGGCCCACCCAGAUAACUUGAAGUAUGCAGAAAUUCUAUUAUCACACAAACAUCUGGAGUCUUUGCCCCCACCUAUAAUCAUUAAGUGAGCAAAAAUCAUGUGUCCUGCAGUUGCCUUACCUGUCAGAUUGGCAUAAUCAAUUCGUUGUUUGAUUUUGGCUUCUUCAACUAUGAAGAUGGCAUUCUGAGUGAGAAGUAGCUGCCGCACUCUUGCCUUGUAUCCUUUCCGGUCAUACUUGACCACAGGAACUGCAUACUGAAACAAGUGUUAUGAUUUCCAAAAGGAACUUCUUGCCCUCCAAUGUAGAAAGCACUGACUAGUGGUCAGUUUACGGGAGUCAGAGAGACAACGGGGGGUGGGGUGAUGAGGUAAUAUCUUGUAUUGGACCAACUUCUGUUGGUGAGAGACAGAAAUGCUUUUGAGUUCAUACAGAGGUCAUCGUCUUCAGGUCUGGAAUUUAAUAUCUUUCAUUGUUAUAUAUAAUCCCAGGCCUGAAGACAAGCUCUAAGCUCAAAAAUGUGACUCUCACCAACAGAAGUUGGUCCAAUAAAAGAUAUUACCUCACCCACCUUACCUCUCUAAUAUCAUGGGACCAUCAUGGCUAUAACAACAUUGCAUACAGUUUAUAGGGGUGGCAGACAAGCAUUCUGGCUUAUAUUUUAAGGAAUGCCUAUGUGAUUUAAACUGGUCCUAACCCAUACCUCAAUUUCUCCACCAACAAGAAGAUAAUGCCACCCAGUUCACAAAGGUGUUGAAAGGCCAAAUUUAACUCAUGUCUAUAAUGCAUUUUGGCCUACUCUAGCCCCUUUCACCUAGUGUAUCAUCUCCACCAGCAGGCAAACACCCUUUUCAAUUCCAAAUUCUAUACCAUAAUCCAAAUUUAUACACACCUCAAAACUACAAUUUUUGCAAUUGGAACAUUAACACCUCAGCACAGAGUUAUCACCACAGAUACCCCCUAAUCUAAUGUAGAAUUCUUAAUACAUUGCAUCAGGAAAUCCAGACACUUGGUAAAGAAUUCACUUCUACUGAAUCAUUGCAGAAGCUUCACAGUAAUCACAGGACACAAAGUCUCACCUUGAUUGUUUCAUUGCCUAAAACCUGAAGGACUUUAGGGUUUAUCUCUUCGGUGCCUAAAAGAGAAACCAAAGAGAAGGUCAGGAGUAACACAAUGGCAGGAACAGAAAUUACUAGAAAAGAGAGAGAAAAAGUACUAGUAUUCCCUGUUCAGAUUUCUGAGUGCUACUCACCAAGUCGAGUGUUGAUGAAGAGUCUGGGAACACUCUGAGGAUAAUUGUCUUUUUUGCCCUUAAACAUCUCACUUGCAACCACUUUCUGAUCUAACUGCAAGGGGGGAGGAAGGGGGGGAGGAAAAAAAAA